UGGACUGCAUGGAAGAGAGAAUGCCGGAAUGAGUAGCGAGAUAGAGGUGAGAAUCCUCUAGGCCGAAUAUCCAAGGUUUCCAGGGUAAAGCUGAUCUGCCCUGGGUAAGUCGGGGCCUAAGGUGAGGACGAGAGUCGUAGCCGAUGGACAACAGGUGGAGAUUCCUGUACUAUGAUAUGACAGAACUGUGGGGACACGUGCAGAGAGCGGAAGCCGGGAAUGGGAUCCCGGUGCAAGCGAGGUACCAGCCGCAUUGGAAAAACCGUGCGGCAAUGGGAAGACGUGAUGCGGAGUGAAGUUUAGUAAUGAAGUCCGUGAGCUGUGCGUCAAGAAAAGCCGCUAUUGUUCAUACCAUACCCGUACCGUAAACCGACACAGGUGGAUGAGGAGAGAAUCCUAAGGCCGGCGGAAGAAGCAUUGUCAAGGAACUCGGCAAAAUGACCCCGUAACUUCGGGAGAAGGGGUGCCUGCGAGAGCAGGCCGCAGAGAAUAGGCUCAAGCAACUGUUUAGCAAAAACACAGGUCUAUGCGAAACCGAAAGGUGAGGUAUAUGGGCUGACGCCUGCCCGGUGCUGGAAGGUUAAGAGGAGAGGUUAGCGCAAGCGAAGCUUUGAAUUUAAGCCCCAGUAAACGGCGGCCGUAACUAUAACGGUCCUAAGGUAGCGAAAUUCCUUGUCGGGUAAGUUCCGACCCGCACGAAAGGCGUAAUGAUUUGAGCGCUGUCUCGACAAUGCAUCCGGUGAAAUUGAAGUACCAGUGAAGAUGCUGGUUACCUGCGCCAGGACGGAAAGACCCCAUGGAGCUUUACUCCAGUUUGGUACUGGGAUCCGGUACUGCAUGUACAGGAUAGGUGGGAGGCUGAGAAUCGGUAACGCCAGUUGCCGAGGAGCCGCUGUUGGGAUACCACCCUUGCAGUAUUGGGUUUCUAACCAGCCGCCGUGACACGGCGGUGGGACAAUGCCAGACGGGGAGUUUGACUGGGGCGGUCGCCUCCGAAAGGGUAUCGGAGGCGCCCAAAGGUUCCCUCAGGAUGGACGGAAACCAUCCAAAGAGUGCAAAGGCAGAAGGGAGCUUGACUGCGACACCGACGGGUGGAGCAGGUACGAAAGUAGGGCUUAGUGAUCCGGUGGUAUUAAGUGGGAAUGCCAUCGCUCAACGGAUAAAAGCUACCCUGGGAUAACAGGCUUAUCACUCCCAAGAGUUCACAUCGACGGAGUGGUUUGGCACCUCGAUGUCGGCUCAUCGCAUCCUGGGGCUGUAGUAGGUCCCAAGGGUUGGGCUGUUCGCCCAUUAAAGCGGUACGCGAGCUGGGUUCAGAACGUCGUGAGACAGUUCGGUCCCUAUCCGGCGUGGGCGUAGGAUAUCUGAGAGGAGCUGUCCUUAGUACGAGAGGACCGGGAUGGACGGGCCGCUGGUGCACCGGUUAGACUGCCAAGUCUAUAGCCGGGUAGCCAAGCCCGGAAGGGAUAAACGCUGAAGGCAUCUAAGCGUGAAGCCCCCCUCAAGAUGAGAUAUCCUAUCCGAAAGGAGUAAACCCCCUUGAAGACGACGAGGUCGAUAGGGCAGGGGUGGAAGUGUGGUAACACAUGGAGCUGACUGCUACUAAUAGGGUGAGGGCUUGACC
rnacentral:rRNA from 1 species